rnacentral:tRNA from 1 species
GGUCCUCGUCCCCGGUGGGGCGGCCGGUCUUCAAAACCGGAUGGGGCCGCCAGCGGUCCCGGGUGGGUUCGACUCCCAUGGCCUUC